GAUGCACCAGAUUUUAAAGACCGAGAAGAAGGAAACUAGGGUUGGACUUCGGGAACCGCCGCCUACAACAGUUAAACAACUGCUCCACUUCACUUGGGUUAUCCUCAGGCUCAUAAUCAAGAGCCAGAUUCUGUGCAGCCUGUUUGGAUACGUUCAACACCUAAGCAGGCGGGACGAAAUGGUGAUGAUUGGCGAAUGAUGCCCGCUCGGGGAAUCUUCAUCACCAGGGCCAGCACGAGUCCGUAUUAAUCAACUCACUGUGAAACACUUUCCCAGGAGGGUGUUGCAGCGAAGAAGAUAUACUCAUGCGUAUUACCUUGAUUCAGCGAGGCCCUUAUACCACGCUCACUCGUUUUUGUCACCGUUUCCGCCUUUGUAUAACUGAAUUAAGACUCUAUUUAUGUGUGUCUCAAUGAAACUGAGGGCCUAACUCCCGUAACGUACAGCCCCGCUCAGUUUGUGCACGUACCUUGCCUCAUGUCACUUGAACCUUGUGCUUUGGAAUAAUUAUCAUUCAUUGCUGUCGAGCAAAGCGACUUUGUAUUGGUUGAUGCAUGUUUUGUAGCUAAUCAUAAUGGCGCAUAAAAAAGAUGAAAUAAACUGAAG